CCCCUAGACGUUCUGGGCUGCACGCGCGCUACAAUAAUACGCACAGCGAGUAUCACCGAGCUCGAAAGGGCAAGGUAAACAAUAGAAAAGGUACUGUAAUGGUUAUAGAUCCUUGUAAUUAUUGAUCUUCAACGAGGAAUUCCUAGUAAGUAUGUGUCAUCAUCACGCACUGAUUACGUCCCUGCCCUUUGUACACACCGCCCGUCGCUCCUACCGAUUGAGUGAGCCGAUGAAACUGCCGGAUGUGGACUAUUCAUAGUCUGCGGAAGAUAUUUGAAUCGUAGCGCUUAGAGGAAGGAGAAGUCGUAACA
rnacentral:rRNA from 1 species